rnacentral:rRNA from 1 species
UACGAAGGGGGCGAGCGUUAUUCGGAAUCACUGGGCGUAAAGCGUGCGUAGGCUGUUUUGUAAGUUGGAAGUGAAAGCCCAGGGCUCAACCCUGGAAUUGCUUUCAAAACUACAAGACUCGAAUCUCGGAGAGGAUAGCGGAAUUUCCAGUGUAGUAGUGAAAUACGUAGAUAUUGGAAGGAACACCAGUGGCGUAAGCGGCUAUCUGGACGAGUAUUGACGCUGAGGCACGAAAGCGUGGGGAUCAAACAGG